AGAGUUUGAUCAUGGCUCAGAACGAACGCUGGCGGCGUGUUUAAGACAUGCAAGUCGCACGGGGCCUUUUUGAGUAGCAAUACGAAGAAAGGUCCAGUGGCGCACGGGUGAGUAACACGUGAAUGACAUGCCCUGUAGAGGGGGAUAGCCCAGGGAAACUUGGAUUAAUACCCCAUGGUCUCGCAAGAGUAAAAGGUGGCCGCAAGGCUGUCGCUACAGGAUUGGUUCGCGCCCUAUCAGCUAGUUGGCGGGGUAACGGCCCACCAAGGCUACGACGGGUACCUGGUCUGAGAGGACGAUCAGGCACACUGGAACUGAGACACGGUCCAGACACCUACGGGUGGCAGCAGUCGAGAAUAAUUCACAAUGGGGGCAACCCUGAUGGUGCAACGCCGCGUGGAGGAUGAAGGUCUUCGGAUUGUAAACUCCUGUCAUCCGGGAGCAAGACCUGACGGUCAAUAGCCGGCAGGGUUGAUAGUACCGGAAGAGGAAGGGACGGCUAACUUCGUGCCAGCAGCCGCGGUAAUACGAAGGUCCCGAGCGUUGUUCGGAAUCACUGGGCGUAAAGGGAGCGUAGGCGGCGUGGUAAGUCAGAUGUGAAAUCCCGGGGCUCAACCCCGGAACUGCAUCCGAUACUGCCGUGCUAGAGGAUUGGAGAGGUAGCUGGAAUUCACGGUGUAGCAGUGAAAUGCGUGGAUAUCGUGAGGAACACUCGUGGCGAAAGCGAGCUACUGGACAACUCCUGACGCUGAGGCUCGAGGCCAGGGUAGCGAAAGGGAUUAGAUACCCCUGUAGUCCUGGCAGUAAACGGUGCACGCUUGGUGUGAGGGGAAUCGACCCCCCUUGUGC
rnacentral:rRNA from 1 species